UGAAGCACAAACACCAACUUACAUUAAUAACCAACACUGCUACACGUAAUUCCUUCCUAGCAAAGCCACGCCCCUCCACCAAUGAGAGACAAGAGAUAACAACCCUGCGCUGCUGAUUGGCUAACGGAGAGCUAUCUAACAUACGAUUGGGCGGAUGGCGAGGCGGGUGGCGAGGCGGGAGGAGGCUGGUCGUGGGAGUAGCGGGGGUGACUCUUGAUAAAAUGUUGUGUCGUGAGGGUGAAAUGAGUGUGUUUUAACCAAGGGGUGAGGGGAACUGGUCUCCUGCCCCUGCCCCUCCCUAACCUCACCUAGCUACACCUGGUCUGCCUUCCCCGUGACUUGAGUUGGUGUGAGAAGGUGAAUUCAGUAUAUAUAUGCAGGUUCAAGAUGUAACGGUUAGCGAAGGCGUGAUGGUGGCAGGGACACCACACACCACUAUGAACACCAAGAAUGACUAAAGUGACAGCAAAACCAAGCUAGAAUGAAGACAAGACGUGCGAAGAAUGUGUUAGAGUGCCUUUCUCCACUCAGCACACUCCGCACUGCACUCUUCACUCCCUAUCCUGCCCUGCCACGGUGCCAAAUUCAACAUUCACCCACCAUGUCACUGGAAUCCCUUAUCGUGUAAUCCAAUCCCCUUCCCUUCGCUGGUUGUCGGAUUUGAACAGCCAGCUUGCAGAAUUUGAUCCAUGUACUUAUGGAGUCUUACAAAAUAACUCGAAUAUACUUUUUUUCCUCACAUUCACUUUUUAUUUGUUAUGAGAUCGAUGUCCAUUCGAUUUCGGGCUUAAAAUGUUACGCUGUUGCUUGUGAUGACUUGUAAAUAAACACUGCAAUGGUGUA